AUGCAGGCGAGCGAUAGGUUUAACAUCAAUUCCCAGCUUGAGCAUCUUCAAGCUAAAUAUGUUGGAACUGGCCAUGCUGAUAUGAACAGAUUUGAAUGGGCAGUGAACAUUCAGCGUGAUAGCUAUGCGUCAUAUAUUGGGCAUUACCCUUUGCUUUCAUACUUUUCUAUUGCUGAAAAUGAAUCUAUUGGUAGACAACGCUACACUUUUAUGCAGAAAAUGCUCCUGCCUUGCGGUCUGCCUCCCGAAAGAGAAGAAGACUAG
rnacentral:lncRNA from 1 species